rnacentral:ribozyme from 1 species
UGGUGUUUGUAAUGGAAAUAAUGUUUGCAAUUCUUCUUCUUCAAUCAAUAUUUCAAUAUUUUCAUUGAU